GACGAACCGCACGAACGUUAUUCGGAAUUACUGGGCUUAAAGGGUGCGUAGGCGGCGCGGAAAGUAGGGUGUGAAAUCCCUCGGCUCAACCGAGGAACUGCGCUCUAAACUACCGUGCUCGAGGGAGAUAGAGGUGAGCGGAACUGAGGGUGGAGCGGUGAAAUGCGUUGAUAUCCUCAGGAACACCGGUGGCGAAAGCGGCUCACUGGAUCUCUUCUGACGCUGAGGCACGAAAGCUAGGGUAGCGAACGGG
rnacentral:rRNA from 1 species